AUGAGAGAUAAAUGGGCAAUGGUA
rnacentral:siRNA from 1 species